UACAGAGGUCUCAAGCGUUGUUCGGAUUCAUUGGGCGUAAAGGGUGUGUAGGUGGCGCCGUAAGUCGGGUGUGAAAUUUCGGAGCUUAACUCCGAAACUGCAUUCGAUACUGCGGUGCUUGAGGACUGGAGGAGGAGACUGGAAUUCAUGGUGUAGCAGUGAAAUGCGUAGAGAUCAUGAGGAAGACCAGUGGCGAAGGCGGGUCUCUGGACAGUUCCUGACACUGAGACACGAAGGCCAGGGGAGCAAACGGG
rnacentral:rRNA from 1 species